AUCGGAGGUGACGUUUCCGGAAGCUCCGACUGUCAUCCUUCAGGAAAGAACUCAUCGGUCCAAUGUCUGACCAUGCAGAUGUGAGCCUCCCACCCCAAGACCGGGUGAGGAUUCUGUCGCAACUCGGUAGUGCAGUUGAGUUAAAUGAAGACAUUCCGCCCCGUCGCUACUUUCGUUCCGGUGUUGAGAUCAUCCGCAUGGCAUCCAUUUACUCUGAAGAAGGCAACAUUGAACAUGCCUUUAUCCUCUACAACAAGUACACCAGAGUCCAUAGCAAUUGUCUGCUCCCCCAAGUUCCAGGAGACUGGAUUCUUUAAAUUAACUGACUAUGGCCUUCAAGAGAUUUCAACCUGCCGGCAGAAAGGCUUUCACCCCCAUGGCAGAGACCCACCGCUGUUCUGUGACUGCAGCCAUGUCACUGUCAAAGACAGAAUUGUGACGAUCACAGACCUUCGAUAAAUCUCAGUCAUGAACCAGGAGGUGGCCCACUGGGUAAACACACUUGCCACCAAGCCCAACAGCCCAAGUUCUAUUGCUGGGAUCCCCCCAAGUUGUCCUCUAACCUCCAUUUGUGUACUGUGGUAUGUGUGUACCCACAUAUACACACACAGACACAGACACACACACAUAUUAAUUAAUUUAAAACAAAUAAAUGUAAAUUACAAAAAGAAUCCU
rnacentral:lncRNA from 1 species